UACGAAGGGUGCAAGCGUUAAUCGGAAUUUACUGGGCGUAAAGGGCGCGUAGGCGGACAGUUUAGUCAGAGGUGAAAGCCCAGGGCUCAACCUUUGGAACUGCCUUUGAUACUGGCUGUCUUUGAGUUCGGGAGAGGUGAGUGGAAUGCCGAGUGUAGAGGUGAAAUUCGUAGAUAUUCGGCGGAACACCAGUGGCGAAGGCGACUCACUGGCCCGAUACUGACGCUGAGGCGCGAAAGCGUGGGGAGCAAACAGG
rnacentral:rRNA from 1 species